rnacentral:tRNA from 1 species
GGCAGGUUGCCCGAGCGGCCAAUGGGAGCGGACUGUAAAUCCGUCGGCGUAAGCCUACCCAGGUUCGAAUCCUGGACCUGCCACCA